rnacentral:rRNA from 1 species
AAGUACUUAUCAAAGAUGGCCUCUGCUUGUAAGCUAUCACUUAGAGAUGGGCCUGCGUCUGAUUAGCUAGUUGGUGGGGUAAUGGCUCACCAAGGCGACGAUCAGUAGCCGGUCUGAGAGGAUGAACGGCCACAUUGGGACUGAGACACGGCCCAGACUCCUACGGGAGGCAGCAGUGGGGAAUCUUCCGCAAUGGGCGAAAGCCUGACGGAGCAACGCCGCGUGAGUGAAGAAGGUCUUCGGAUCGUAAAGCUCUGUCGAAGGGGACGAAUGUGGGUUCUAUCAACAACGGAACCUAAUGACGGUACCUUUCAAGAAAGCCACGGCUAACUACGUGCCAGCAGCCGCGGUAAUACGUAGGUGGCGAGCGUUGUCCGGAAUCAUUGGGCGUAAAGGGAGCGCAGGCGGGGAAUCAAGUCUAUCUUAAAAGUUCGGGGCUCAACCCCGUGAUGGGAUGGAAACUGGUUCUCUUGAGUGCAGGAGAGGAAAGCGGAAUUCCUAGUGUAGCGGUGAAAUGCGUAGAUAUUAGGAGGAACACCAGUGGCGAAGGCGGCUUUCUGGACUGUAACUGACGCUGAGG